AUAUCUAAGGUUUCCAGAGUAAAGCUGAUCUGCUCUGGGUAAGUCGGGGCCUAAGGCGAGGUCGAAAGACGUAGUCGAUGGAUAACAGGUUGAAAUUCCUGUACUAUCCUGUAACAGAACUGUGGGGACACAGGCAGAGAGCGUGAGCCGGGAAUGUAAAGACCGGUACAAGCGAGGUAGGAGAAGAGUUGGCAAAUCCGCUCUUCAAUCUGAAGACGUGAUGUGGACUGAAAAUAAGUAGGGAAGCACGUGAGCUGACUGUCAAGAAAAGCCGCUAUUGUUUGCAGGAUACCCGUACCGUAAACCGACACAGGUGGAUGAGGAGAGAAUCCUAAGGCCGGCGGGAGAAGCAUUGUUAAGGAACUCGGCAAAAUGACUCCGUAACUUCGGGAGAAGGAGUGCCAGUAAGAUGGCCGCAGAGAAUUGGCCCAAGCAACUGUUUAGCAAAAACACAGGUCUAUGCAAAACCGAAAGGUGAGGUAUAUGGGCUGACGCCUGCCCGGUGCUGGAAGGUUAAGGGGAGAGGUUAGCGCAAGCGAAGCUUUGAACUUAAGCCCCAGUAAACGGCGGCCGUAACAAUAACGGUCCUAAGGUAGCGAAAUUCCUUGUCGGGUAAGUUCCGACCCGCACGAAAGGCGUAAUGAUUUGGGCACUGUCUCAACAAUGCACCCGGUGAAAUUGAAAUACCAGUGAAGAUGCUGCUUACCUGCGCCAGGACGGAAAGACCCCAUGGAGCUUUACUCCAGCUUGAUACUGGGAUUCGGUAUUGCAUGUACAGGAUAGGUGGGAGGCUAGGAAAUGGUAACGCCAGUUGCCAUGGAGCCAAUGUUGGGAUACCACCCUUGCAGUACUGGGUUUCUAACCAGCAGCCGUGAUCCGGCUGGGGGACAAUGUCAGGUGGGGAGUUUGACUGGGGCGGUCGCCUCCGAAAGGGUAUCGGAGGCGCUCAAAGGUUCCCUCAGAAUGGUUGGAAACCAUUCGAAGAGUGCAAAGGCAGAAGGGAGCUUGACUGCGACACCGACGGGUGGAGCAGGUACGAAAGUAGGACUUAGUGAUCCGGUGGUAUAAAGUGGGAUUGCCAUCGCUCAACGGAUAAAAGCUACCCUGGGGAUAACAGGCUUAUCACUCCCAAGAGUUCACAUCGACGGAGUGGUUUGGCACCUUGAUGUCGGCUCAUCGCAUCCUGGGGCUGAAGUAGGUCCCAAGGGUUGGGCUGUUCGCCCAUUAAAGCGGUACGCGAGCUGGGUUCAGAACGUCGUGAGACAGUUCGGUCCCUAUCCGGCGUAGGCGUAAGAUAUUUGAGAGGAGCUGUCCUUAGUACGAGAGGACCGGGAUGGACUGGCCGCUGGUGUAUCUGUUGUCUUACCAAAGGCAUAGCAGAGUAGCCAAGCCGGGAAGGGAUAAACGCUGAAGGCAUCUAAGCGUGAAGCCCCCCUCAAGAUGAGAUAUCUCAUAACGUCAAGUUAGUAAGACCCCUUGAAGACGACGAGGUAGAUAGGGCAGAGGUGGAAGUGUGGUAACACAUGGAGCUGACUGUUACUAAUAGGUCGAGGGCAUAACC
rnacentral:rRNA from 1 species